AAGGUACCGUGGAUUGGCAACACUUACAAUGUAAACAAACAGCUGAUCACGGGUCCGGAGCGAGGCAAGGAGAUAAAAAUAAUAAUAAACGAAGGAAAUAGAGCAAAUACUCGUAGAAGGACGACAGCAGGCAGAGAGGGGCAGGAGAAGUAGCAGAAUCAGGGAAAGGCGUAUUGGUGCCAGUAAAUAAGGUGGACUUGGAAUCUCUCAGGGGAAACUACAUGUAGUAAUUGAAUUAAAAUGGCUAGAACCAGAGGAUGGGGUUGUGCGUCCCCGGGAGUUCAGAGGGUGCCGGCGCUUCAACUGAUGGUGUGGACCCAUGAGACAGAGGCUCCACCAGGGUAACAGGGACGUGAGGGGUCUCCAGCAGCAUGCCUGAAGAUACUUGUGUGUGGACGAGGGACACACACUCAAGAACCACAAGUCCCUGAACACCUUUCCCCCCAUGAACUGGCUGCUGUUUACUGGGACACCCUUGCAGAACAGCCUGGCGGAGCUCUGGGCCCUUCUGAACUUCCUAAUGCUGGAUAAUUUUGAGUCCUUGUCCAAUGUGAGUGAGAUGCAGGAGGGAAGUGAGGAGAGGACUCUGAGGCAGGAAUGGGAGGGCCAGGCCAUCUCCACUCUAAUGAAGAUAAGAGAGAGGGAAUGUGGGUGUGUUUGGGAGUGUUUUGGUGGCUUUGGGUAGGUUUGGGUGUGUUUGGGGAGUUUUUUAUGAUUAUUUAAAGAGGUUUUUUUGGGCUGGAGAGGAGUUUUUUGGGCUGGAGAGGAGUUUUUUGGGCUGGAGAGAAUUUUUUUGGGUCUGGAGAGGAGCUUUUUGGGCUGGAGAGAAGGUUAUGUUUUGGGCUGGAGAGAAGGUUAUGUUUUGGGCUGGAGAGAAGGUUUUGUGGGCUGGAGGGAAGUUUUUUGGGCUGGAGGGAAGUUUUUUGGGCUGGAGAGGAGUUUUUUGGGCUGGAGAGGAUCGUUUCAGGUCAGGUGGUUAAACACUACCGUCUAUCUAGUGGCUAUUGUAGGCUGUAUCUCUCUCUCUCUCUCUCUCUCUCUCUCUCUCUCUCUCUCUCUCUCUCUCUCUCUCUCUCUCUCUCUCUCUCUCUCUCUCUCGGCGAGAUAGCAAGGUACACACACACACACACACACACACACACACACACACACACACACACACACACACAGCCCCCUCCCCCUCUCUCCCCUUUAUCGUAACGUACAAACAGGACUAAACGUGUUACCAAUGCCAGCAAUGUAAACAAAACCACAGUGACUUUGAAAUGUAAACAAAAAAGUCACGUGACCAGGUAAUGUAAACAAAACCACGUGACUUUGAAAUGUAAACAAAAAAGUCACGUGACCAGGUAAUGUAAACAAAACCACGUGACUUUGAAAUGUAAACAAAAAAAGUCACGUGACCAGAUAAUGUAAACAAAACCACGUGACUAUCAAAUGUAAACAAAAAAGUCACGUGACCAGAUAAUGUAAACAAAACCACGUGACUCAAAUGUAAACAAAAAGUCACGUGACCAGAUAAUGUAAACAAAACCACGUGACUGAAAUGUAAACACAAGGUCACGUGACUUGCAAAUGUAAACAAACCAGGAAAAAAAACAAACAACCGCCAUCUUGAAAGCAACGUAAACAAACAAACAAACAAACACGUGGAUAUAUUAACAGUUUGCACUUAAAACAAACAAACAAACAAACAAAUACUUGGUACACACGCUUAGUCCCAUAAUUAGAAGGUAAAACACACACACACACACACACACACACACACACACACACACACACACACACACACACACACACACACACACAGUCUAGGUGAGUUAAUCUUUAUAAUAAUAAAAAAAGUUUCUUAAGAGUAGUUAGUUAAAUAAGAAAAAUAUAAAAAGUUAGAUAAUUCAAACAUACACACAUUAUCAUUAUUAUUAUUAUUAUUAUUAUUAUUAUUAUUAUUAUUAUUAUUAUUGUUAUUCGACUUAGCUCCUUGCAGAUAUUCAAAAUGGUGUCUUUUUUUAUUUAUUUUAUUUUUUCUAUAUAUAAUACUUAAAUAGGUAAGAUUCAUCGCUAAUAUUACAAUGUGUGUAUGUUUGUGUGUACAUAUGUGUGUGUGUGCGUGUGUACGUGUGUGUGUGUGUGUGUGUGUGUGUGUGUGUGUGUGUGUGUGUGUGUGUGUGUGUGUCAUUAUCAACCUCAGAACCUCCGGGUAUUGUGUGUGUGUGUGUGUGUGUGUGUGUGUGUGUGUGUGUGUGUGUGUGUGUGUGUGCGUGUGUGUGUGUGUGCGUGCGUGCGUGCGUAGGUUUAUAGCGAGUCUAAGGUACUCCUAAACGGGUCUUAUUUAACCUCCUCCUCCUCCUCCUCCUCCUCCUCCUCUUCCUCCUCUUCUUUUUUAUUUUUCAAUGUUAUUUUUCUUAAUUUUUUUGUGAUUUUUUCUUCGUUCUCCUCCUCCUCCUUCUCCUCCCUCGUCAUCUUCUUCCUCCUCCUCUUCCUCCUCCUCCUCCUCCUCCUCC